AUUGAACGCUGGCGGCAGGCCUAACACAUGCAAGUCGAACGAGUGGCGGACGGGUGAGUAAUCUCUGGGAAACUGCCUGAUGGAGGGGGAUAACUACUGGAAACGGUAGCUAAUACCGCAUACCAUCAGAUGUGCCCAGAUGGGAUUAGCUUGUUGGGGGGGUAACGGCGCACCAAGGCGACGAUCCCUAGCUGGUCUGAGAGGCUGACCAGCAACAAUGGAACUGAGACACGGUCCAGACUCCUACGGGAGGAAGCAGUGGGGAAUAUUGCACAAUGGGCGAAAGCCUGAUGCAGCAAUGCCGGGUGUAGGAAGAAGGCCUUCGGGUUGUAAAGUACUUUCAGCGGGGAGGCGUUACCCGCAGAAGAAGCACCGGCUAACUCCGUGCCAGCAGCCGCGGUAAUUC
rnacentral:rRNA from 1 species